GAUGUCAAUAAGUAAAAGACAGCUUGGAAAGUUCAAGUGAUAGUUCUUCAUACCUGAAAACAUGGAUCUAGCUGAUAUCAAAGGAACAAAGAAGACCAUCAAAGGAGUCUUUGAGAUGACUGAGAUUUUACAUGGAAUCAAAGAGAAAGAAUGUUUUCAAAGAAGGCAAAGAACAAUCAAGAGUCAAAGUACAACAUUUCUUUCAAAUAAGAUGGAAAGAGAUUCACAUUUGAAACUCCUCUUUCGUUUUCUAAAAGGUCCAACAUGUGAUGAAGAUUGAAGAAUUUACAAAGUUGGUCUACGAGACAUACAAUGAUGCAUGUUCGACAAGAGGUUUAUUAGACGAAUGAUAUGGUAUUUCUUAUUUUUUAAAAAAUUCUAAAAUCUUAUGUUAGUUUUUCAUUUUCAAUUAUUUGUAUUUUCUUAAUUAUGUUAUCAAAUUAUUAAAUUUCAGAAAACAAGACGCUUUAACUGUGAGCCAGUAAUUUAAACUAAAUCGCAUUUGAU